UUACGGCCAUAUCGCGUUGAAACGCCCCUACGAUCACCAAAGUUAAGCAACGUCGAGCCUGGUUGGUACCUAGAUGGGUGACCACUUAGGAAUACCAGGUGAUGUAAG